rnacentral:lncRNA from 1 species
CUUCAUCACUAUGAUUAUAUCCAUUACCUCUGUGGCAUGGGCUUCACCGACAAACAAGUCGGAGCCAUCGGUGGCGGUUCGGUGCAGUGUUCUAAGGUCCGGGCAAUCAGCCCCGAACAGCUGAACUAUCCUUCUAUUGCGGUGUACCUAAGUGCUAAUACGACCGAGGUGACUGUCAACCGAACGGUGACGAAUGUCGGGGACGCCGUUACAACCUACAACGUGAAGUACGACGAACCGGAAGGAGUGAGAGUCGACGUUGCGCCUGAUAGGCUGCAAUUCUCCCGAUCCAGGCAGAUGAAGGAUUUUCGAGUCACGUUGAGCAUCAAGCCGGGGAGACCAACAGUUAGGAUGGCAGGGCAAGUUUUUGAGGGGCAAAUGGCGUGGGUCUCCGGAAAGUACUACGUAAGGAGUCCUAUUGCCGUCACAAUCCAGUGAAACACGAUCGUAGUUUUAAGUCCCAUGUGCAAAGCAACAUACUAGUUCUUCCCCAGGCGUAAAAGAAAGAAAAAAGAAAAAAAAAUAAUAUAAAAUAAAUAAAAACAUGUCGCCCACCAAAAAACUCUACUCCGUGGAAACUAAGAUUCUUCUUCUUUUUCUUGUUUCCUUUUCUUUUUCUUUUUUUAAUGGCACUGUGGUGAGAACAAAUCCACCUAAUUAGGCUGUUCGUGUUUUUGAACUUUGGAUCGGGAGAAAGCAAAAUAAAAAAAAUUAUUGGUAGAUCAGAUCAUAUCUGUUUUCUAUCUCAUCUCAACUUAAUGCAAUUCCUACCAUUCGUUGAAUAACUUGGCUAGAUGCAAUGGGACUAGGCCUAGUUUUAGACUUUUGAGUGGAUGCCCACUCCGAGAAGCCCACUACAAUCCAUUGGUCGUGAGUCAAUGGCUCAAUCGAGUAAAAUUAUUGCCUUUAGUAACCGUACUAGUUAUUAAAAAGGUAAACCAAGUUUAGGCCCAAAAGAGUUGUGAAAACAAAAGAUUGUCAAAUUACACCCAUAUUCUGCCAACCUCGACUAGGGAUGGAAACGAGCCGAGCUCGAGCGAGCUUAUGUCAGCUCAAAUUUAGCUUGAAAUUAGUUUCGAGCCUAAAUCUAGGCUCAAGCUCGGCUUGAAAUUAAUUCGAGCCGAGCUCGAGUGAGCCUAAUUUCGAGUCGAGCCGAGCUCGAGCUCUAAACGAGCCGAUUGAAAUUCUCUACAUUAUAUAAUCAAUAGUUUAAUUUUUAUAGAACAUUACCUAUAAUUUGAUGCAACAUAUUCAAUAGUUCAAAAUACAAAAUAAUUAUAAGAAAUGUGAGCUAGGGUGACUGUCUGACUGGAUGAGGGUUAGAGAGAGAGAGAGAGAGAGAGAUGGGAAAAAAUUAGGGAUUUGAAAAUUUGAAUGUUAUCAUGUUUUAGAGUUAUGUGCAACAGUGAAAGUCUGAAAGAGAGAGUGUGUUAUGUAAUUUAGAGUUGGGCUCUAUUGCAUGGUUGUACUUGUUGGGUUUAUUUUAUGGGCCAACAAUAAUAGCCCAAAUUAAAUUAAAGUCUAUAUAUUAAUUAAAAUACAUUAUAUUUAUAAAUAUUAUAUAUAUAUAUAUUUUCGAGCUUUCGAGCUUUUCGAGCCUAAUUUGAACGAGCCGAGUAAUACUCAAGCUCGGCUUGAAAUGAAUUUCGAGCCUUUUAUUUUGUUCAAGCUCGGCUCAUUUAAUUUCGAGUCGAGCUCGAGCGAGCCGAAUAUCGAGCCGAACACGAGUCGAACGCGAGCCGGCUCGCUCGUUUGCCAGCCCUACACCUCGACAACAGUUAACUUAAACAUUUUUCAAGUAGCAUAUACUAAACCAGUAAAUACAAUUAUAAAAUUAAAAGUUAUUAAUUAAAAGUAAAAAUGUCUGAAGACCCCCUCAAACUAUAAAGGCAUCUUAAAACAAGCCCGCAUCAACUUGCUUUUUUUUUUUUCUUUUAUUUACAAACCUCCUUACUGUCCCGAUUAUUUAAAAUUAAGUGAUUUUUCGCGAAAUAAAUUAGAGGCGUUUAUCAAGUUUCAUCUAUGGUCUCAUUAAUUUAAUAAUUAUAAAUUAUUUUUUAGCAAAUACAAUUAGGAUGAUCAAUGGCUAAUUUCUAAAUGAGCUAUUAUUUUUUAAAAAAAAAUUAGCUAAAUUUAAUUAGAACAACUUUAAAAAAUUAGAAAUUUACUGCAGGUUCCAUUCCCAAAAGGUUAAAGGAGCGCUAUUUUAUAGUUGAGGGAGGCCUACACAGCAAUUAUAUCUUAAUUAAUAACACUAUAGAACUAUCGCUGAUCGGAAACUCCAUGUCGAGGGAGGAGAAGAAGGAGAAGGAGAAGGAGGGUGUGUUAGUGAUCUCGAUCUCGUCCACGUCUUCGUCCUCGUCCUAUGGCGAGGAAGAAGAAGAGGAGGAGGAGGUGGAGGUGAGGUCGGCGGAGGAGAAAGGGAGGGACGACGAUGAGUGUUGCAUACUCCCCUCCGAUCCCUUCGCCGACGAUCUCAUCCUCAACCUCUCGCUUUGCCAACGCAACGACGACGGCGAUGAUCUCGCCAUUCUCUUCGUACGAGGCCAAGUAAUCGAUUCUCUUUACUUCCCCUUUCGCUCCUUGGUUCCUACUUUGCACUAUUGGUUCGUGUUAAAUAAUUUUUCCUUAAUGGAAAGAUCAUAUGAUUGACAUUUUAGGAAACCCUAGUUUACAACGAGGAAUUAAGUUCUAACCUUAGUAUCUAAGUUUUAAAGAACGGUAAAAGGGGUACUUUUCCUUUCCGAAAACCAGGAUCUGCGGGUUUUACCAGUGUAUGAAAUUGCCAGAUGUUGUAUUUUCUUUUUCCCCUUCCUUUUUGGGGUUUUGUCUCUGCAGAUUUAUUGUGACGUGGUGAAACUAAAUUGGUAGUAAAAGAACUUGUAAUUUAGUAUUGAUUAACCCUGGCGACACCCAUAAUUGAAGAUAGAAAUGCCAUCUCAUUUUCGCUUAUGUGUACGAUAAGUUUUCCGUCAAGAGUACCACAAAACAACUAUAAUAUUGUGAGAAUUUCUUUUGGAAUCAUUGAUAUGGAGUUAAACUGUUGGAGUUCAUCAACAUGUAACAUUCUUUUUUUCUAAAAAAGAGUUUCCUGAAGUUGAUCGUAAGAAUUUCUAAUUUCUACGAAAUGCAGGUGGCUUGUAGAGAUCUUCCCCACCAAAGAAAUCUCUGUGCAGAAUAUCCCUUUAGCAAGACACCUCAUGAGAGCUAUUGUCCGAAGGUAGCCUGAUCCAUCUCUUAUAUUCAGCUGAGGUGGUGCAAAUGGAUUUUAAUCUAAUUUGAUUAACAAGUUUGAAUUUGGAUAUAAUGGUUUUUGUUUUCCUAUUACAUUGUUUAUUGGUAGUAGAUUCCCCAGUAGGGUUAUAUAAAGGAAGUUGAUGCCAUUGUCAAUGCCAAAAAUUUUAAGUUAGAAUGUGUUAAUAAGAUUACUUUUAAUAAUAUUAGAUAUCUUACUGUGCUCAUGUUGGAAUGUGUCACAACUGAUUAGAAGUAAUGCUUCUUUUCAUCUUCGUGAAUUCAUGAUUAUUUUCACAACUACUACUUUAUAAUUUAGACAUAUGCUCGAUGUUACAUGUUGUGUUAUCAAUUGGUGUGCGACAAGUAAGAGCAAUUUCUAUGGUGUUUCAACUGUAAGACGUUUAGAGAUAAUCGUGUGGAUCUUUUUUCUAGCUUAGUUAUAAAGAUAAUGGUAGAUUAAGCAAGUAAUCUUGGUAAUUAUUUGAAUGUAGGGAGGCCAUUGCAGAAUCUGUUUAUGACUCCUGCUCUUCUUUACGGUUGCUACCUUUUCAAACUUGAAAUCUAUCUUAAGUUUCUUGUAAGUUGGCAACCUUAAUAUGUUGUUGACAUCUUUUUCUUCUUUGGGCUGAACAAAAACCUAGUAAUUUCUGCUUGUUCAAUUAAACAGAAAGGGCCAAAGAACAAUCUACAAGCUUGACAUAAUGUCGAGAAAAAUAAAAUAGAAUUGUGCUAGAAUAUUCGAUCUUAUUCACAGGGAUUCUUAAAAAUAUCAUACUAAAUAAAAUGAUUAAAAUAUGUUACAACUAUCAAACUAUCUGUUUGCCUUUCUCAUACAUAAAGGCAUAUUGGGUUCUUAUUUGAUAUUAUAGAAACUCAUGACUUCUCAAUGAUGUUAUGUAGUAUUCUCUCAUUUAGUAAUCAAUUGCUGCAGUGUUUCUGCUAUGUCUGCGAGAAAAUAGCUCCCUGUGAGGCUUGGAAGGGACCUCUAGGACACUGUCAUGCAUCUGACCAAGAAAAGAAAUGGAAGGAUAUGAGGAAAGCUAGGCAAUCAGCUCAAGCACAGGAAAUUAAGCCUUGCUCUGAAGUGUAAGAUCCCCUGAGCACCUCAUCUAUAUUUGCACCUCAUUGAAAUGGGGAUGUUGGCUUUGGAGUAAAACCAUUAAGCAUCACUUCUGGUUAACGGCAUUUUGGGCUCUUUAGGAGCUAAGCUUGGUGCUAGCUGCCUGCACAGUGCACCUCUUAGAGAGAAUGUUGAUUUUUUGAGCAAAUAAUUUAUACUCCACGUACAUGUUUAUGUUUUUGUUUUGACUUUGCAAUUGUAAAGUUCCUGUAGAUUGUAAAUUAAGUUUUACCAUCUGGUUGAUGCCCGAGAAAUCUAUCUGAAGGACUUGAUAGGCUACAGGUGUCGUCUCCUCGCACAUUUUGGGUUUUCUUCUAGUUAUGUGGCUGAUGAGACACAGUUUACUAACAUCUAUAGAAGAGAAGAUAAAUUACUUUGAAGCAGUGAUCAAUGCAUUUUUGAGUGAAGUGCGGGAUAGGGAAUAGUGUUGAAUUAACUAUUCCAAUGAUAAGUUAAUUACUAUUAAUAAGGUUGUUGCCUUUUCAUGACCACUUGAUUUUCCAAUGUAAGGUAAGAAGUGGCUGAACUUCACAUGAAAAUAUCACCUGCUGGGCCUUUUCUCAUGAGCUGGUAAUGCUAGUCUCUUCAUUUUUGUAGUAGCAUGUGAAAUUUGGCAUGCUUCUCUCUUAGCUGAAUGUGCAGUAUUCCAUCUCCAGAUCUACUCUCUUUUAUUUCUGAAGCACAACACUUCAACGUGAGGUAUGUGUGGCUCUUCUUUCUUUCUCUUUUACUCUUUCCAUCUGCAAAGGCAUUUCUGUGUCUACAGUAGAGUAGGAAAGCAAAAAAGGAAAAAAAAAUUAAAUAGUUUUUGCCUUAUUUCCUUUUUUCAUAUGCAUCAUUAUUGGCAUUAUUCCUCUUUGGUGCUUGCUUAACUUGUUUCUCAUUUCACCAUAGUAAAAGUAAAGCAUCUUGCAGAUUGAGGCACAAUGAAGGAGAAAUGGUAAAUAGUAUCUUCUAUUCUUUUUAGUAUUGAAUAAUUCAUAAUCAACUUCAUUUAUCUUCCUUCUAAGCUAUCUUGUAGACAUUUAGGAAAUUAUUUGUGUUUAGAUAUUUGAGAAAAAUGACUUUAACUGCCAUCUGAUGAAAAGUAAAUUCAGGUAUUAUAUGUAAAUGUUACGAAGGAUAGGUGUGAAGAUGAAAUUUGCUAGGUGGGUUUUUCAGUCGGGUCCAAUUUGCUUAGACCCAAAAUAUUUGUUUGGUUGUAACACUAUUUGGCUCAGCUAUCCCUUUAGGUUGAAGCCUUAGAGAGCUUUAGAACAGCAUAUGUAUUAACUUCAUCGCAUCCUGCAAGAUAAUAAGAUGACUUGUGUCUUUUACGUUGAAAGUUGAUUUAUAGUUUUUGACAAUAAGAUAGCCACUUAGGCCAAAGUCGGAAUAAGUUAUCCAAGGAUUGCUUAUUCAGUAUAAGGAUUUUCUAAAAUGAUUGUAAAAAAGAAGUUUGGUUUUUUGCUUCUUAAAAGAUUUUGAUAUUCACGAUCUGGCAGAAUAACAUAUUUUACUUGUAAGGUGAUAUAUUUUAUCUGAAAAAAUAGUUUGAAGGCCGAAUAAGUAUUCAAUUCGAGACAUUUGAUCAUACUCCUUAUUUACCAAAUGUACAAUCUUCUCAAGUAAAUCAUGAAAUUAUUCCUUUGAUGGAGAGCAUUGUGUUAAAAGUAAUAGCAGGGAAGAUGUUUUAGAUUUCUUUUCAUAUGAGACUGAGCAAGUGUUCUCAUGUAAAGAGAAAGAUGUGGCGGAUUCUGCAAUUCAACAAAAUGUGACAGCAAUGGGGGACUCCUAACAUGAUAUUUGCUACAGACCCGUGCCAUUUUCCAUUGUGAGACCUUUUUUAGGAUUCUACUCUGCUGACUCCUUGAUGCAUAAUGUGAUCUAUAAAGUUUUCUUUUGAUUAACUUGGAGAGCUGCAGCUUUUUAGGUUUAACUUCAAAGCUCACUCUUUUGGGUUCAUCAAUUUGCACCCUGUGAAGGUUUUUUUUGCAUCCUCUGCAUUCAUUGCCAUCUGAUUAAUUAUGAUUUUUGUGGAAUUUGCAUUAAGGUAUACUCGUACAAUCAUUAUUAUCUUAGAUCAAGAGAAAUGGCCUUAACUUCUGAAGUCUUACUUGUUAGAGGCUGAACCGAACUCUACUCCAAAUACAGUACCUACCCUUCAAUUCUUAGAUUAGGUUUCUUGGUUACACUUUUCUAUAAUGCCAAAAAUUUUCUGUUCUACCUUAUUUUAAACAAGCCAAGUCGAAGUAGAAUAUGAUUCAUAGUGUGGUAGAGAAAGAAAAAAUAGUAAGAGAUAGUGAUGACAUUAAGUGGUCCUAAAAUGAGUUCAUUUACCAGGAGUUACUAUGUUGUUAUGUGGUGCACUUGCUUGAUAAAUUGAUCACUUUAUGUAUCUAUGCUUUGUUGCGAGCCUGCUAAACAAAUUGAUCAAAUGUUAGAAAAUGCAGAGAAUCUUUUAAGAUACGGCUAUUAAACCAACUUAUUUACUUAAAAAUUUAUUUAAAAAUUCGGUCUUUUUGAAGCUUCUAUAGAACUGUUAUUUGUAUAGUGUUAUAGAACUGUUGUUUGUAUAGAGUUUGAAUAGUUUCUAAUAGGUAUCUACUGAAGCAUCCUCUCCUCCGUCUUGUCAUGUGAUGUAGCUGUAGAACUGUUUCUUGACUAUUGUAAGUUGACGGUGGAAAUAUACUUAAAUAAUAUUUAUUUAAGAGAAGGCCAUUUUAAGAAAGAAAAAGUUAACUUUAAUCAUUUAACUAAUGGAGAGGGUGUAUUUCCAAACUAUGCACUAUGGAGAAACAUGUUUCAUGACUAAAAUUUUGUAGCAGUAAUGCACUUUACAGUGAUACUAUGCAUUAAAAAAAGUUUGAAAAAAGAAUAUCAUGCAUAUAGGUGAUUGUAAUUAGUAUAACUGGGGAGAUUUUCCAGAUUUUCCUGUGCGUAUAGGCAAGUGCACGGGAACUUUGGCGUUAGCACGUCUUCUAUAAAAGGGUGAAUAAGCUGGUGCAUCUAUUAUUGCGUUCAACCAAAAGCCCGUAUUGCUAUUGUUAUUGUAUUGCAGGUAUAAAUGUAUGUAGUUCAAAAGCACUCGACUUGGAACUAGGAAGAAGAAAACACUUCUGGGUCUUUGGAUUCACCUAGCACGAUUAGAGAGAGAAAGAGUUCACUUAUUGCAUUUUAUAAUUGAUAUAAGUGUGCCGCAUGGCAUCCUUACUACGGAUCAUUAUUUUUUUGAGAGAAAGACAGCACGAUACUUACUUCAUUCAUUAGAUAAAUAAAUUUAACUAUAUAGAGUGAGACUGCUAAGACCUUGAAAAAGACGAAAAAAAUAAGAGUAAAAAGAACUAAAAAGAAAUAUUAGAGUAAAAGUAAAAACAAAACGUCAAAUCGAAGGGUAUAGCAAACACUGAUGUCACUCGGUUCUAUAAAAAUCUGUCCACUUUUUUGCCAACACUCCAAAUACUACGGAUCAUUAUUAGAUAUCUAAAAUGUAACCUGUUUGCUAUAAUUAAUCAAAUUAUAUCUUGCAAAGAUUUGUCCAUAGUUAAUUUGUCCACUAUUUGGUCUUUGUUACAUCUUGAUGCCCUCGGAAAGAAUAAUGAUGCAGAUGAUUAUUUUUCCUAUUUAAGGUCCACUUGCCUCUCCUCUUUGCAAGCACAUUCUAUUGCCUUGCUAGUUGCUACCAUGGAUAUUGUACAUUCGGUCUUCUACUUGCUUAUUUCUUUUUCCUUCUUCCUAUCCAAUCCAACUCUUCUCUUGGUUCACUCCCAACUACAGCCCAUUUCUAAUGACACCCAAAUGCAGGUCUAUAUUGUUCAUGUACAAAAGCCUGACAGCACGAGCUUCCGUCGGUUCAAGGAUCGGAAAGAGUGGUACGCGUCCUUCUUGCCCAACACCACCCUCGACUCCGGCAAGCCGCGCAUGAUCUAUGCAUACCGCCGCGCGAUCAGAGGCUUCGCGGCGUGGCUCACCGCUCAGGAAGCAGAAGCCAUGAAAUCCAUGGAUGGCGUUCUCGUAGCCUACUCCGACUUCGAGUAUGAUGCUCAAACCACCUACACCCCGCAGUUCCUAGGACUAAACGCAUGGGAGGACGGCAUUUGGUAUGACUCUCAAUACGGAGCGGGGCAAAUUAUUGGGGUCAUCGACACCGGAUUUAAGCCUGGUCAUCCUUCCUUCAGGGAUACCGAUGUAAAUCCGCCGCCUGGGACGUGGAACGGAAGCUGCUACUGGAAACAAUCCGUGUGCAACAAUAAGCUCAUCGGUGCAGUGGGAUACAGGUUUGGGCGCACCGUCUCACCUGAGGACAAUAACGGUCAUGGAACCCACACGGCGAGCACAGCUGCGGGGAAUUUUGUGGAUGAUGCCCACGUACUUGGCAUGGCACGCGGCACGGCCUCAGGGACGGCACCUAAAGCUCAUCUAGCAAUCUAUAAGGUGUUACACAACACCAAAACUGCUACUGGUACAGUGGCCAAAGCGUUUGCUAGCGACACUUUGAGGGGUAUCGAUGAAGCGAUACGCAAUCACGUGAACGUGCUAUCCAUGUCCCUCGGGACGGUGACGCAUCAGCUGCAUGCGAAUCCUAUUGCCAUAGCAUCAUACGCAGCAAUCACCGAAGGGAUUGUCCCUGUGGCCUGUGCUAUGAACGAAGGGCCCUAUAAAAGCAUCAUAGCGAACGAUGCGCCGUGGAUACUUACCGUCGGAGCAAGCACUACGGACAGGAGGAUAAGGGCCAUUGUCAAGCUCGGAAAUGGUAUGGAGUUCUUCGGCGAAACAGCAUACCAGCCAGAGGGAUUCAAUUCGACUCAGCUACCGUUGGUUUAUCCGGGGGUGCUACAGACGCAAAAGACCUUGAAUUGCAAGAAGGGCUCCAUGGACACUUUCGAUGUUAAAGGGAAGAUCGUGUUGUGCGGGGUUGGACAUAUUUCAAACAUCGAAAAGGGUGAGGUCGUUAAGGCAGCGGGCGGUGCCGCGAUGAUACUAAUGAACCAGCCGUGGAAUGGGAACACGACGUACGCCGAACCCCACGUCAUCCCGACGGCCCACGUGAGCUUCAGCGAUGCGUGGAAGAUCCUCACGUACUUCAACUCCAUGCCCGAUGUAACGGCAGCAAUCAUCUUCAACGGCACACAAUACGGCGCUCGACCGUCACCCUCAGUGGCUUUCUUCUCGUCGCGCGGCCCUAGCCUCAUGAAUGGCAACAUCAUCAAGCCGGACGUCAUUGCACCGGGCGUCAACGUUCUAGCCGCUUGGCCAUUCGAGGUAGGGCCUAAACCUGACCAGCACCUUCAGCCCACAACUCACACAUUCAACUUCGAUUCGGGAACGUCGAUGGCGACCCCUCACGUGGCCGGCAUUGUGGCAAUGUUAAAGAAUAACCAUCCUGAUUGGUCUCCUGCUGCCAUUAAGUCGGCGAUCAUGACUACCGCUUACAUGGUCGACGCCGAUGGGAAUCCUAUCGGCGAUGAUUCCAAGCCCGCGGGGACCCCAGCAAGUGCAUAUGCCAUGGGCUCGGGCCACGUCGACCCGUUGGCGGCCAACGACCCGGGCCUCGUCUAUGACCUUCAUUACUAUGAUUAUAUCCAUUACCUCUGCGGCAUGGGCUUCACUGACGCACAAGUCGGAGCCAUCGGUCGCGGUUCGGUGCAGUGUUCUAAGGUCCGGGCGAUCAGCCCGGAACAGCUGAACUAUCCUUCUAUGGCGGUGUACCUAAGUGCUAGUACGACCCAGGUGACGGUCGACCGAACGGUGACGAAUGUCGGGGACGCCGUUUCGACCUACGAGGUGAAGUACGACGAACCGGAAGGAGUGAGAGUUGAAGUUACGCCUGAUACGCUGCAAUUCUCCCGAGCCGGGCAGAUGAAGGAUUUUCAAGUGACAUUAAGCGUCGAGCCCGGGAGCCCAACAGUUAGGAUGGCGGGGCAAGUUUUUGAGGGGCAAAUGGCGUGGGUCUCCGGAAAGUACUACGUAAGGAGUCCUAUUGCCGUCACAAUCCAGUGAAACACGGUAUUACUUCUCGAGUCCCAUGUGCAAAACAACGUACUAGUUCUUUCCCCGGCGUGUAAAAAAGAAAACAUAAUAUAAAAUAAAUAAAAAACAUGUUUGUCUACCAAAAGGCUCUACUUCGUGGAAACUAAGAUUCUUCUUCUUUUUUCUUGUUUGUUUUUGUUUUUUUCUUUUUUUUUUCUUUUUUUAUUAUUAUUAUUAUGGUGUCUGAUCAGAUGAAGCAAUCGGACUGAGCCCAGUUUGAGUGGAGUGUGCACUCCGAGAAACCAACUACAAUCCAUUCCUCGUGGGUCAACAGAGCAAAAUUAUUGCCUAAAAAUAGCCGUACAAGUAAAUAAAAGGUCAAAAAAGUAUGGGAACAAAAGUAGUGAAAACCAAAGAUUCUCGAAUUACGCCCAUAUUCUACCAAGCGCGACAAAAGUUAAACAUUUUUCAAGUAUCCUAUACAAAACCAGCAAAUACAACUAGAAAUUCUUGUUUUUAAACUUUCGAAUAUUUGAAAUUGAGUGAAUUUUCUGAAAUAAAGUAGAGGCAUUAUCAAGUUCAUCUAUGGUCUCAUCAAUUUAAUAAUUUUAAUUAUUUUUUAGCAAAUAAAAUUAGGACAGUUAAUGGCUAAUAUCUAGAUGAGCUAUUAAUUGUUUUUUUUUUGGAAAAAAAACAUUAGCUAAAUUAAUUAGAACAACUAAAAGAAAUUAGAAAUUAGUGAGGCGUUCAUUCCGAAAAAGUGGAGGCGCCUAUUUUAUAGAUGAGUGGGGGGCCUGCAAACAAUUAUAUAUCUUAAUUAAUUAACAACUAUCCUGACCGGACUCCAAAUAAAUUAAAAAGAAAUAACGAAAUGAUCGCAUCCAAAACCCUGCGAUAACACACCAGUAAAAGAACAUUUGUAUGCUCAACCUUUUCAACAACCCCUAAUAUAAAAAUAUCCAGAAGAAAUUAAGAUAUCAAAUAGAACCUAUUAUUUUAGUAACAUGACCUCUCACUUACCUUCCCCCCCCAGGAGCAUGACGACCGUGGAAGAAGAGAAGGAUAGCAAGAAGAAUAGUGUAAAGAUAGAGGAGGCCAAAGAAGAAGGGGAUGAUUCCGACGAUGAUUGUUACGAGAUCGAUCCCAUCGACUUCGCCCGCAUACUCACCUUGAAAGUCUCUGAUGAAGUUGUUCUUGUUUCUGAGAAGGAACCAGUAAGAAAUCAAUCUCUACCCCCUUAAUUCUACCACCAUAAUCAAAGUUUUAAAACUAAAGGGCGAUUCGAUACUUAAAACCCGAUUGAAUUAUAUGAUGUUGAUCACUACAAUAGGUUGCACUGAGGGACUUCCCCCAUCCAAGGCACCUGUGUGCGAAUUUCCCCUUCAACACUUCUCCCCAUGAGAGUUACUGCAGCCAGGUUCCUUUUUUUUUUUUUUUUUCUUUUGAAGUGUUUCUUGAUCAAAUUUCUCAUCUUAUUUGUUCACUGGUAUGGUUUGUAUUAUGUGAAAAUUUUGUCACAGAGGUAAUGAAAUAGAAAGGUACUAUCACCUUGUAUGAUACAAUAUUGGAUACCCCAACUCCCUGGGGGGGGGGGCACGUUAUGGUUAGAAACUUAAACAUUUUAAGUUCCUGUAGCCUACUAUGCCUGGAAAUCAGGCUAACUUGGGGAGGCAAUCUAAAUUCUAAACUUGCUGCACUUUUUAUGACAAUGAAUCAUCCAUUGAUAUCAUGGUAAGUUUACUACUAUAAUCCUUUGCCCUUUGGACUCAUCUAAUAUGUUUAAUAAAGGAAACAUACAGGACAUAUGAACAUUGCAUGCUUGCAUUUGCUUUAUGAAGAAAAAGGGGACUAAAAUACAAAGAUUUUGCCAUAGCCACAUAAAGUUGAAGGAAUAAAGCUCGACGUACCUUAGAAUAUGCUCCAAAAUAAACUGCUUGCUUGCUUGCGGAUAACGCCAGUUAUCCUCUCAUAAAUUGCACACUGGACAGCAUCUUCAGUACAUUUUGGUGUACUGAUAAAAAAAAAUGCUCAAAAUAGAGGACUUAUGAAUACCCUGAAUUCAUCAUGAUUUUAGAUAUCGUAAGACAUUGCAAAGCAUGCUUCCGAAAGUUAAAUGAGAAUUGUACAUACUUGAUUCACGGGUACCCUUCAGAAGUCUCAGCAACAUCUGACAGUUGUUUAUGUCUGAUGCAGUGUUUUUGUUACGUCUGCGAAGUAGCUGCUCCCUGUAAGCAGUGGGAAGGAACAGAUGGGCAUUGCAAUGUAUCGAAGAAGUAAUAAAGGAGAUUUUAGAAGACUUGGUAAGGACUUCCCGGAGAGGGCAGAAUUUUAAGUCUGCUGAUAUAUAGAACCCUUGCUCUGUUCCAAGAGGAUUUGUGGGAUAUCUUAAGAAAGUUAAAUGUUUUGGCGGUUUAUUGCUAAAGGCUCUUUCAUACCAGGAACUGAUAAAUACCAUCACGAGUUGAUGAGGAAUCAGUGGAAUUUAACUUCUUUCAAAUUAAUUAAGACAUAAACACGGGCAUAUCACAAGUACGUCCGACCCCACGAAACUAUUAUACUUGGGAUUCUCGCUAUUCGUAGAAUUUUUUCCAAGUGAAAUUUCUCUCUGUUCUAUCAUGCAUGCUUGGCGGUCUCGCAGGGCACUGUCUCAACACUAUUCCUUCAACCAAAGAUUACGAAGAGGGGGAAGGAAAAAAAAUCGAGAUGUUUAAAGUAACUUUUAUCUAUUCCAGUUAAGCAAACUACGGUUUUGGCCAAGUGCAUAGUGCUGCAAAACUAGGCAACAACCUUACUAGCUAGAAUAUCUUUCCUUAACAAAAGAGAAGAGCAUAUCUAACACGACUAAAAUCAAACACAGAGACUGGAUUUCUACAAUUACAUUGUUCCCGAAUAAUUUCAUAAAAUUAACACAAGGACAAUAUUAGCACAUUGGCACCGACUUCGCUUACACAUUCAAAUGAUCAACUGCAGAAAAAUUACAGCAACACAAACAUAAUACAAAACAGACUAGCUAACUUUGUGGAAGUAUUAAGUAACGGAGAUAAUCAAUCAAGUAUCAUCAUCAUAAGAGGCAUGGAAGUCCGUAGAACAACCUGGGGCAUCUGGAUCCUCGGCGCCGCAGCAGUCGUAGAACUUGGCAGCAUAAGGCGGAUCAUCCGGUCCAAGCUCGUAGUACCUUCGAUCAACAAGAAUAAAAGAAUCGGGAUGGAUCUAUUUAAUCCAUCGAUUUGAACAGGUUGGCUUAACUAUUGGCUUAACUAUUCAGAUUAAGAAAAAGAAGACGAGAGAGAGAGAGAGAGAGAGAGAGAGAGAGAGAGAGAGAGAGAGAUCGAUCGUAGUGUGGUUAGUGUUUAGGGUUUAGGGAUUAGUUGGUGACCUCUUCUGGUCGUCGUGGCGUCGGCAAACGAAGAAGGAUGGGUGGAAACUGCAGGAGGAGGGCGUGUUUUCGGAGGGAUCGAAGCGGCGCUUGCAUCGCCGACACAGCUUCUCCACCGCAGCAGCAACCACCACGACCUCCCCUGCUUCCGACAUCUUCUUUCUUUCUUCCUUUCUUUCUUUCUUUCCUCGCUCGUCGCCCGCCCAUCUUUCCCCCAACUCGCUCUCCCCCUCCCUCUCCGCCCCUUGUCUUCUCUGAUCCCCGAGCCACGCGUCGUCACGAGGCCCAUAUAUAUAGAUAAGGCCGGCUUCUUGGGCCGGCCCAUUGUGACGCGGGUGCCAGCGGAUCGGACGGUUCAGAAAGUUUAGGUCAGGCCCGCUCCCCGAUCAAACUAAACUGAAAACUCGCAGGGAUUGCGAUUGCGGAGUCAUGAGCUUUUGAAAAGAACUUCCUUGGUUGGGAUUGUAGAAAAAUUAUGUUACGUGAAGUUAGAAAAUGCGAUUAAAAAUUAUGAUGUUUAUUUUCGUACGUAAUAUUACAUUCCGCAUAUCGCGAUUAGUCGGUUAAGAUAUAUUUUUUACGGUUCUAUCGGAGAACGCAAAAGUAUAUUCCUAUAUAUUUUUAUCCCAUCUUUAUUUUAUCUAAUAGCAUUAAAUAACUUUGGACGUUCCUAUAGAAAAUAGGAUUAGAGUAGGAACUGGUGACCUACCUAGAGAAAAUAGGACUAGAGGUUGAACUGGCUUUUUGGCAUUCAGUUUAUUCUUGUUUAAGUAUUUUAGUUUUAGGAACAAAGCAGUGGAACACCCAAAUAUCAUCUCAAGUAAAAGUAACUACCAGACAACAGAAAAUUACGGCAGGGACAUUAAGGACUUCACCUUCAUGAGCAGCAAUCUCAGACAGAUAAGUUGCAUUGUGCCUUGUGUUUUCACUCGGGUCAGUGAAUUCAAUGAUUAAGCCGUACUUUCCAAUCUGCAUGUCAGAACAAAAAAUUUACUCAAAUAGAAACUUUUAUAACUAAAAAUUCUUAAACAACAUAUGGAACUAAAAUAAUGACAUAGAACACCUGAAAUAAAGACAUAGAACAGACAAGUAAAGCAGAACCUGUUAAUUGACAAGAUAAUAAGUAAUUCUUAGUGCAUCUUUGUUGGAAGAAGAAUUUGAGGAACACUUGUAAUUAAAAUAGCAUAUUAUUCAGGGGUUGAUUAUGUAGAUCAUGACAUACUAAUAAUUCCUAUAUAUUUAAGGCCUAUUAGUUGGUAAAAGAUAUACUUUCUCAUUUGACAAUCAUUUUGUAGUUUGAUCCUCAGCUUGCCUCUUUGCUGUACCAGAUGGGGUGUUUAACUUGCCUCUCACAAAUAAAUUACUCAUACAAAGUUUCACAUCUAUUCCUACAAAGUUUUUUUUUUUUGAGAGAUUAUUCCUACAAAGUUUGAACUAUAAAAUUUGUAUAAUCUUGAUAGUCAAAUACAUUUCUCUAACAUUUAAAAGUAUGCAAAAUUUUAUUCGUGCAGGUUGACUAUUGUAAGUUCACGCACGGUGGAAAUAUACUUAAAAAUAAUUUUUAUUUAAGAGUAGGCCAUUUUGAAAAAGAAAAAGUUAACUUUAAACAUUCAACUAAUGGAGAGGAUGCAUUUCCAAACUAUGCACUAUGGAGAAACAUAUUUCAAGACUAAAAUUUUGGAGGAGUAAUUAUGUAUUCAACUACUUUACAGUUUACAGUGAUAAUAAUAUGCAUGAAAAAAAAAUUUGAAAAAAGAAUAUCAUAUAAGUGAUUGUAAUAAUUAGUAGUAUAACUGGGAGAUUUUCCAAAUUUCCCUGUACGUAUUGGCAUGUGCAUGGGAACUUCGGCAUUGGCACCUCUUCUAUGAAAAGGUGAAUAAGCUGGUGUAUCUAUUAUUGCGUUCAACAAAACGCCCGUAUUGCCAUUUGCAGCUAUACAUGUAUGUAGUUCAAAAAGCACUUGAUUUGGAACUAGGUAGAAGAAAACACUUCUGGGUCUUUGGAUUCGUCUAGCACGAUUAGAGAGAAGGAGAGAGAGUUCACUUAUUGCAUUUCAUAAUUCAUAUAAGUGCACCGCAUGGCAUCACUUACUACGGAUCAUUAUUAGUUAUCCAUAAUGUAACCUGUUUUCCAUAAUUAAUCAAAUUAUUUCUCGCAACGAUUUGUCCGUGCAAGGUUGUUUCUUGCGAACAUUUGGAAAGGAUCCUAUUUAAGGACCAUAUGCCUCUCCUCUUUGCAAGCACACCUUCUCUAUUGCGUUGCUACCAUGGAAAUUUUACACUCAAUCUUCUACUUGCUUAUUUCUUUUUCCUUCUUCCUAUCCAAUCCAACUCUUCUCUUGGUUCACUGCCAAAUAAAGCCCAUUUCAAAUGACACCCAAAUGCAGGUCUAUAUUGUUCAUGUACAAAAGCCUGACAGCACGAGCUUCCGUCGGUUCAAGGAUCGGAAAGAGUGGUACGCGUCCUUCUUGCCCAACACCACCCUCGACUCCGGCAAGCCGCGCAUGGUCUACGCGUACCGCCAAGCGAUCAGCGGCUUCGCAGCGUGGCUCACCUCUCAAGAAGUAGAAGCCAUGAAAUCUACGGAUGGCGUUCUCGUAGCCUACCCCGACAGCGAGUAUGAUGCUCAAACCACCUACACCCCGGAGUUCCUAGGACUAAACGCAUGGGAGGACGGCGUUUGGUACGACUCUCAAUACGGGGCGGGGCAAAUCAUCGGGGUUAUCGACACCGGAUUUAAGCCCGGUCAUCCUUCCUUCAGGGAUACUGAUGUAAAUCCGCCGCCAGAGACGUGGAACGGAAGCUGCUACUGGAAACAUUCCGUGUGCAACAACAAGCUCAUCGGUGCAGUGGGAUACAAGCAUGGGCGCACCGUCUCACCUGAAGACAAGAACGGUCAUGGAACCCACACAGCGAGCACAGCUGCGGGGAAUUUCGUGGAUGAUGCUCACGUACUCGGCAUGGCACGCGGCACGGCGUCAGGGACGGCACCUAAAGCUCAUCUAGCAAUCUAUAAGGUGCUACACAUCACCAAAACUGCGAGUACUGGUACGGUUGUCAAAGCGCUUGUUAGUGACACAUUGAGGGGCAUCGACGAAGCGAUCCGGAAUCACGUAAAUGUGCUAUCCAUGUCCCUCGGGUUGGAGAAGCAACGGCUGCAUGCGGACUCUAUUGCCAUAGGAUCAUACGCAGCAAUCACCAAAGGGAUCGUCCCGGUGGCCGCUGCCGCAAAUGCAGGCCCCUUCGCGAGUGUCAUAGCGAAUGAUGCGCCGUGGAUACUUACCGUCGGAGCAAGCACUACAGACAGGAGGAUAAGGGCCAUUGUCAAGCUCGGAAACGGUAUGGAGCUCUUCGGCGAAACAGCAUACCAGCCGGAGGGAUUCAACUCGACUCAGCUACCGUUGGUUUAUCCAGGGGUGCGAAAGACGCAAAAGACCUUGAAUUGCUUGAACGGCUCCAUGGACACUUUCGAUGUUAAAGGGAAAAUCGUGUUGUGCGGGGUUGGACAUAUUACAAACAUCGAAAAGGGUGAGAUCGUUAAGGCGGCAGGCGGUGCGGCGAUGAUACUAAUGAACCAGCCGUGGAAUGGGAACACGACGUUCUCCGAACCCCACGUCAUCCCGACGGCCCAUGUGAGCUUCAGCGAUGCGUGGAAGAUCAUCACGUACUUCAACUCCACGCCUAACGGAACAGCAGCAAUCACCUUCAACGGCACACAAUACGGCGUUCAACCAUCACCCUCGGUGGCUUACUUCUCGUCUCGCGGCCCUAGCCUCAUGAACGGCAACAUCAUCAAGCCGGACGUCAUCGCACCGGGCGUCAACAUUCUAGCCGCUUGGCCGUUCGAGGUAGGACCUAAACCCAACCACACCCUUCCGCCCACAACUCACACAUUCAACUUCGAAUCGGGAACGUCGAUGGCGACCCCUCACGUGGCCGGCAUUGUGGCAAUGUUAAAGAAUAACCAUCCUGAUUGGUCUCCCGCCGCCAUUAAGUCGGCAAUAAUGACUACAGCUUACACAGUCGACGUCAAUGGGAAGCCUAUCGGCGACGAUUCCAAGCCCACGGGGACCCCAGCUAGUGCAUACGCCAUGGGCUCGGGCCACGUCGACCCGACGGCGGCCAACGAUCCAGGCCUAGUCUAUGACCUUCACCAUCAAGAUUAUAUCCAUUACCUCUGCGGCAUGGGCUUCACCGACAAACAAGUCGAAGCCAUCGGCCGCGGUAAGGUGCAGUGUUCUAAGGUCCGCGCGAUCAGCCCGGAACAGCUGAACUAUCCUUCUAUUGCCGUGUACCUAAGUGCUAAUACGACCGAGGUGACGGUCAACCGAACGGUGACGAAUGUCGGGGACGCCGUCACGACCUAUGAGGUGAAGUACGACGAACCGGAAGGAGUGAGAGUCGAAGUUAUGCCUGAUAUGCUGGAAUUCUCGCGUGCCGGGCAGAUGAAGGAUUUUCGAGUCAAGUUGAGCAUCAAGCCGGGGAGCCCAACAGUUAGGAU